GCCUAUUGCAAACAGGAAAAAUGUAUUUUUUUUCAUAAUACUUAUAAUUAGGCACAAUAGCUGAGGCAGACACAUCACCCUUGAUUGUAGGGAUGUGUUUUGUCUAAUAGAUUUCUAACCUGGGGUUUUGGGAAAAACGUACCUGCAAGGAUAAUUCCUUCAACUCAGAAAUUUUAGAAUCUGUGUGUACCCAGUUGAUGAAGGAAGAAAGUUAGAAAAUUAAGAUGAUAUAUGUCUGUUAUAUAGCUAAAAUCAGCUGUAUCUAAAGCCUAGUAUUUACAUAAAAUGUUGUAUUCCAUAUUCUAAGUAUGGAAAUUAGAAUGUCUGAUCAGUGGCAAAUAAAACAAAUCCAGCCCCCCUCCUCUCCCACCAAGCAGGGCUACUAAGCCCUUCAGAAUAGUUUUUGCUUGCCAGGAUGCACCUGGUUGUGUUUUGUCUUUCAUGCCAGCUUCCUGUCAGAGGGGUAUAGAGAGGCUGACAUUUGAUGUAUGCAAAAGAACAAAGAAUAGGUUUUGCAUCAAAGCCAAGUUGGCAAAUAUUGUUGUUUCCUGUGACAAGUUUUGCUUAACUAGCGCAAGAACCAGCCAUGCAGAGAAGUGUGCUCCUAUAGUGCAAAACAGAAUCUAUUUAAGAAGGAGAAACAUCAACAGCAAAAAGAUGCUGCAAGGAGCACUGCCACAAUACAGAAAAAUUGAUAGAUUUGUCUCUUCAUGAGAAAAGAAAAUUUUAUGAACUGGGAGGAGGUGUCUUGGUUUUGUUGGUGUGUGUGUGUGUGUGUGUUUACCUGUUAAGUGCUUAUAUCUGAAUAACUUCUGGCUGCAACAAACGAAGAAACAAUUAUGUCAGCUUGUCCUUGGCACUGGCUGGGCACAUGUGUUCUGGGCUGCCUUAAAAAAGGAGUGGCCAGCAGGGAGAGGGAGGUGAUUGUCCCCCUUUACUCAGCUCUUGUGAGGCCCCAUCUGGAGUUCUGCAUCCAGGCCUGGGGCCCCCAGUACAAGAAGGAUGUGGAGCAUUUGGAGCAGGUCCAGAGGAGGGCCACUAAGAUGAUCAGAGGGCUGGAGCACCUCUCCUAUGAGGAAAGGUUGAGGGAACUGGGCUUGUUUAGCUUGGAGAAGAGAAGGCUCCAGGGAGACCUCAUUGCGGUCUUCCGGUACUUGAAGGGAGCGUAUAAACAGGAAGGGGAAUGGCUGUUUACGAGGGUGGAUAGUGAUAGGACAAGGGGGAAUGGUUUUAAAAUGAGAUGGGAGGUUUAGGUUAGAUGUUAGGAGGAAGUUUUUCACACAGAGGGUGGUGACACACUGGAACAGGUUUCCCAAGGAGGUUGUGGAUGCCCUGGAGGCAUCCCUGGAGGCAUUCAAGGCCAGGCUGGAUGUGGCUUUGGACAGCCUGGUCUGGUGGUUGGCGACCCUGCACAUAGCAGGGGAGUUGAAACUCGAUUGUUGUGGUCCUUUUCAACCCAGGCUGUUCUACAAAGGAAGACUAUAUGCUUGGAACUAGUACUUCAGUGUGAAGGGCAUACUGGAAUGACCUUGGUGACAUCCCUGGGUCUCUCUUUUACUUGGACACCUCCUGCAACUUGAUCAUCCACAUUGUAAAGUCACACAAACCUGGCAGUGCCAUUUCUAAAAGGAAAAGUGAUAAAACCUAUCUUCCAGCAAAUUCUUUCAGUAUUCAGUAGGUCCUUCUAUGCUUAUUUCAACCUCAUUUCUCACUUAGGUUUCACAAGUUUUCUCCAACCUGCACCACUGGUUUUGACAAUUUCUUCCUCGUUUUUAAUUCAUUGUAUGCUGGACUUUGCCAACACUGUGUGCACUCCCCAUCUUCAAGACUAAGUUGCCAUGUGUCUGUGACUUGAUUGCAGCUGGCUUAGUCUGCCUGACAUGCUUAAGAGGUGAUGCUAGAAUUGGGAUUUGUUUUCCAGGUUUGUCAGCUUUCUGCUUUCUAGAAAGGCCUUCAAGUCAGGAAAUUUCCUGAAACGUUCUAAAAAAUCAUGGGUGGCUGUAGUUAGAAGCAACUUAAAGUAAUAGCAACUUUAAUAAUAGCAUUGGUAGAAAUUUAUGAGAAACUUUUAAAGCCAGAAAGUUGGAGGCAGGUACAAUGAUGAUUUCAGUCUGUGAUGAUAAGCAUCUUUAGUAGAAAUCUUCAAAACAGAUGACCUCAGAUGUACAUUCAGACAUUAGAAAUGUGCACAGGUAAUUAGCAGCAUGGAUGUUGGUAAGCAGUAAAUGGAUAGUUCCGCUGCAUAUGAUUAUGCACCUUACUGUAAAUAGGAAUUGUGGGUUGUUUUAUUUAUUUAGUAUUUCUACAUCAUUUACUCUACAUUUUCUCCUCAGCUUUAGUCUUCGCAUCACAAACAUUCUAAAAAUUCUGGAAUAUACUCCUCUUACUAUGACUUUGUUCACCUCUUUUUCUAAGUUCUGCCAGUUUUCUCUCCUCAGUGUGUUCUAGAGUAAUUUACCUGUGAUGACAGAAAUAAACCUAGAAAAUAUAAUGGAAUUUUCCUAAUCUUCCAAAGUUUGCCUUUGGAUUCAAUGAUGUUGUAGGUCCCUUGAAGUGACCACAGAUCCAGACACACUUCUGGUCUCGCCAGGUAGGGUAUUUCUCAUGUGCUUGGGCAGGCUACCACGGACACCUGGUCAAUUAACGAUGCUCACAGCUCACUGGGACUGAUCAUGUCUCUCAAGAGCCACUAUAAUAUGUCUGUAGACAUAUGGCAUCUCUUCAAAACAGUUUCUACAUAAGCAUAUGUUUUUUAACACUUUUUCUCCUCCUUUGAACGAGAGCUUUAAAGACUUC
ensembl:lncRNA